UGAUAAGCACUAAUGUCAGCAGUGGU
rnacentral:piRNA from 1 species